GCCGUGGCUUCGUGGUAGGGCAUCUGCCUCGCAUGUAGAAGAUCCCAGGUUCAAACCCUGGCAUCUCCA